rnacentral:rRNA from 1 species
UCCUACGGGGGGCAGCAGUGAGGAAUAUUGGUCAAUGGGCUUACGCCUGAACCAGCCAAGUCGCGUGAGGGAAGACUGCCCUAUGGGUUGUAAACCUCUUUUGUCAGGGAGCAAUUGGCGCUACGUGUAGCGUUAUCGAGAGUACCUGAAGAAAAAGCAUCGGCUAACUCCGUGCCAGCAGCCGCGGUAAUACGGAGGAUGCGAGCGUUAUCCGGAUUUAUUGGGUUUAAAGGGUGCGUAGGCGGAAUGCCAAGUCAGCGGUAAAAUCGCGGGGCUCAACCUUGCUCCGCCGUUGAAACUGGCGU